GACAGAGGUGGCAAGCGUUGUUCGGAUUCAUUGGGUGUAAAGGGCAGGUAGGCUGUUUUGCAAGUCCGGCGUGAAAUCCCAGGGCUCAACCCUGGAACUGCGUUGGAAACUGCAUGACUUGAGUACUGUAGAGGUGUGGGGAAUUCUCGGUGUAAGGGUGAAAUCUGUAGAUAUCGAGAGGAACACCAGUGGCGAAGGCGCCACACUGGACAGUUACUGACGCUGAGCUGCGAAAGCAAGGGGAGCAAACAGG
rnacentral:rRNA from 1 species